CGAUAGCGUAUAUUAAAGUUGUUGCAGUUAAAAGCUCGUAGUUGAACUUCUAAGUGUUGGUUAAUCGCCUUUAUGGUUUGAUUGACCUUCCUUAUCCCCUUUGGCUUAACAGCACGCACUUCGAUGGGCGGUUGCGUAGCCAAGGAAUUUACUUUGAAAAAUUAGAGUGUUUCAGGCAGGCGAAUUGCUGGAAUACAUUAGCAUGGAAUAAUAGAACACGACCUCUGUAUUCAAUUGGUAUUUUGGUGGGAGGUAAUGAUUAACAGGGACAGUUGGGGGCAUUAGUAUUGUAUUGUCAGAGGUGAAAUUCAUUGAUUAAUGCAAGACUAACUUAUGCGAAAGCAUUUGCCAAGGAUGUUUUCAUUAAUCAAGAACGAAAGUUAGGGGAUCAAAGAUGAUUAGAUACCAU
rnacentral:rRNA from 1 species